AGUGAACGCUGGCGGUAGGCCUAACACAUGCAAGUCGAACGGCAGCACAGUAAGAGCUUGCUCUUACGGGUGGCGAGUGGCGGACGGGUGAGGAAUACAUCGGAAUCUACUUUUUCGUGGGGGAUAACGUAGGGAAACUUACGCUAAUACCGCAUACGACCUACGGGUGAAAGCAGGGGAUCUUCGGACCUUGCGCGAUUGAAUGAGCCGAUGUCGGAUUAGCUAGUUGGCGGGGUAAAGGCCCACCAAGGCGACGAUCCGUAGUUGGUCUGAGAGGAUGAUCACCCACAUUGGAACGUGGCAAGGGCCCAAGCUCCUCGGGGGGGACGCAGUGGGGAAUGUUGGAAAAGGGGCGAAAGUUGCCCCCACCCAACCGGGGUGGGGAAAAAGGCCCUUGGGUUGUAAAAGCCUUUUUGUUGGAAAAAAAAAGAAGCAGUUAAAAACCCCGCUUUUGGGCGGGUCCCAAAAAAAUAACCGCCGCCUAAUUUGGUG
rnacentral:rRNA from 1 species